rnacentral:lncRNA from 1 species
CGCCCCGCUCCCUUCCCGCUCCGCCAGCUGCCGCCCUCCCGCGCUCGCUUCUCGCCCCGCGGCCUGGCCCGUGCGCCUCCGAGGCUGGCCAGGGGCACCGAGGCCGCGGGCCCCCCAUCGCCCCCACCCGAGCCCUGAUUUACCGUCCGAGAGCCGGCGGCACAUGGGACCCCGAGAGGAGAAGCGCGCCUGCCCCAAAACCACGGCAUGGAGACGGAAUGAUGCAGACUCCUAUCCGCGAGAUACCUGCUGUAAUUUCGCUGUGGUUCGUGAGGACGCGUCCUGGGCUGCCCUGAGAAGCCUACGUCUCCCCUUCGAGGCCCGGGAAGACCUCCAACCCCGCUGACAAUGCUGGGCCCUCAGCCAGACCUGCCCUGCGUGCCACGUUCUGUUCUAAGAUCGGGCUGCCGAGCUGUGGCCUGGAGGAAACCUGGCAGGUGUCACCAGAGCUUUGGGGAGGGUGGGGCUGCCAUGAGCAGCAAGCUCAGUCCAGAAGAACAGUUCCUCUCCAGGAUCCACUUCCUGCGCACUUUUAUGUGCAGUGUAGCUGGAGCAGAGCUCCCCGGAAUUCCACAGGCAACUGAGAACGGAGAGGGAUGCAGGCCAGCCAGGGAUCCAGCGUCUUCCCCAUCGUCACUCUCCAUGGCCUCCGUCUACACACAGUGUUCGUCUGCACAGCUUGUCAGCGCGUUAUCAUGACUUCUAUUUGGCACCGGCCCGUCUGUCCACUGUCCUGGCUUGUUCCAAGCGCUGCCUUCUCCAACUGGGGUCCUGGCUGCAGAGCUGUCUGCUCCCCACGUUGGGCAACUCCAGCCAAGAUUCCUACACCCAAAUGUGACCGUGUUGCUCACGAAGAAGGCUCAGCUUUGCGUGUGCCCAGCCGUGUGCACAGCUCGUCCCAACUCCUGCGGGUGGCACCUGCCUCUCCCACCUCCAGUCUUUCCCCUGUGAUGAGCAGAUGACCACCGCCCUCCAGGGUCAGCGUUUGGCUGUUUGUGUGCCUGCCCACCCGCCUCCCUGUGCCUGGGCCUGCCCUGUGCCUGCACACAGGAGUGGCUCAUGGCGUUUGCCCUACACGGAUGGGCUGUCCUGGGAGCUACUGGACAGUCACCUUGGUGGGAAUGCCAGAGGCAUGGGCAUUAGGUCCCCCCGGCCAGCCUCCGUUGCCACAUGGGCUAUUUUUGUCCAUCGCGUGGGACAACCUAGUAUUGGGGGAAAACUCAGUCCACUCUAAAGAAGCAUCGGCGUUUUGGAUGGACGAAUGCUGCUUCAUGCGACUCCAUGUCAAUGGACUAUUUUAUUCAACUCGGGUAUUUAUGAGUGUCUCCUCUGUGCCAGCCACGUGUGAAAGAAGAACUCCAAGUUACUGGACACCAGGACAAACCAGGUAGAUCACUGCAUCCGGUUCCUCCUCUUUCUGCCGACUCUCCCGGGCAACCGUUCUGAUUCCUGGCAUGGAGUUGGGGGCGAGCUCAUCAGUACCCAGAGCGCCUGGUGUGCAGCCAAAGGCCCCCAUUUUAUUAGUCGGUGUGUUCAGUAUCACGCUCAAGACAAGGGCCAACCUAUUACUUCACACACCUCAAAUACAAAAAGUGCCUGGGAACGUCGAUGAGGUAUUAAAGGAAACCACUGGUCUUGUCAGUCAUGUACACACAGAAAAAAAAACCAGUCAUUUUUAUUUUUAUUUUUUGAGACAGAGUUUCGCUCUUGUUGCCCAGGCUGGAGUGCAAUGGUGCAAUUUCAGCUCACUGCAAUCUCUGCCACCCGGAUUCAAGCAAUUCUCCUGUCUCAGCCUCCCGAGUAGCUGGAAUUGCAGACACCCAUCACCACGCCCAGCUAAUUUUAUGUAUUUUUAGUAGAGAUGGGGUUUCACCAUGUUGGUCAGGC